GUGCCAGCCGCCGCGGUAAUACCGGCAGCCCGAGUGAUGGCCGAUCUUAUUGGGCCUAAAGCGUCCGUAGCUGGCCGCGCAAGUCCAUCGGGAAAUCCACCUGCUCAACAGGUGGGCGCCCGGUGGAAACUGUGCGGCUUGGGACCGGAGGACCCGAGGGGUACGUCCGGGGUAGGAGUGAAAUCCCGUAAUCCCGGACGGACCGCCGGUGGCGAAAGCGCCUCGGGAGGACGGAUCCGACGGUGAGGGACGAAAGCUAGGGUCUCGAACCGGAUUAGAAACCCCAGUAGUCC
rnacentral:rRNA from 1 species